rnacentral:rRNA from 1 species
AUGGGUUUCCACCCGAGAUGGAGAAACUGGAUAGCUCUUCUACUCUCUUCUGCCACCUCCUCCUCCUUGCUCAACGGAACACAGGGCCAAUCAAUAUCUCAUGGCUGUGGUUUUAGGCAGGGUGAUCCUCUAUCCCCGCUGCUUUUCAUCCUAGCAAUCGACCCUCUUCACCACCCCCUUCAAGCUACUGCAGAGGAAGAGAUGAUCGCGCAGCUACCAGGAUGUGGGAUCAGCAUGCGGAUUAGCUUAUACACUGAUGACGCCGUUAUUUUCGCCAACCCGGUGAAAGAAGAAGUGGACACGCUGUUGUUUUUGCUCAGCAGAUUCGAUGAGGGCACGGGGCUGAAGUUAAACCAGGCAAAAUCUGAAGUCAUCCCAAUUAACUGUGCUGAUGUCCAGCUAUCUGAGGUUCUGCAAAAUUUUGGGGGGCCGCAGUCCACGUUCCCAGCCGCAUACCUGGGGCUGCCAAUCUCUCCAACGAGGCUAAGGCUCAUGCAUUUCCAAUUUAUAGUUGACCGGAUAUGCUCAAGGUUGGCUGCAUGGAAAAGCAAGAUGAUGAGUAUGGCAGGUAGAAGGGUACUGGUGCGUGCCGUGUUGACGGCACUGCCGGUGUUUGCCAUGACAGUACUCAAGGUGCCGAAGAAGAUUUUAAAAGAGGUGGACCAAGCAAGGAGGAAGUUUCUUUAGGCACAUGAUGAGAAUGUCACUGGCGCCAAAUGCAAGGUGGCCUGGGGCAAAGUCUGUCUUCCGGUGGCAAAGGGGGGGGGGCUAGGUUUAUUGGACCUCCAUCGGUUCAGCACAGCUCUUCGGCUGCGCUGGUUAUGGCUCUCCUGGCAAUAGCUACACAUGCCCUGGAUGAACUUCCCGGCCCCAUGUGUCAGAGAGGACCUGAAGCUGUUUGCAUCUGCCACCUUUGUGCACUUGGGCAACGGAAAAAGCGCUUUCUGGACUUGCAAUUGGAUCGGGCCGGUGGCGCUGCAACAUGAAUUCCCAGCCUUGUUUCAGCAUACCAGAAGAAAAAGCAGGAUGGUUCAGGAUGCACCGACAAAUGACACUUGGGUGUGAGACCUACGGCAUGGCAACACAUCAGAGAUUCCUCACCAGUUUUUGCAAAUGUGGAGGAGGAGGAGGAGGAGGCUACUCGGCGAAGGGUGCUUAUGA